rnacentral:tRNA from 1 species
GCGAGGAUGGCGGAAUUGGGAGACGCACUGGAUUUAGGAUCCAGCCCCUUUUUGGGAUGGGGGUUCAAAUCCCCCUCCUCGCA